GGUGAUAACUGCAGGUCGAAUUCACGUCCAAGGAGAUUUGAGUACGCUCGUACUGUCGGCGUCCCGUUGAAGUGAUAAUAAAAGCAGUUGCAACGUCGUCGAGCCAACACUAAAUAGUCAACAUGUUGUGAUAUGAAUCAUGCUAGGGCUAGCUUGUUAGUAAUUGUUUUUAAUGGACCUUCUUGCUGGUUAGCUGAGGAAGCUAAUUAGCCGCCAUGGCUACUCAACGAGAGAAAAAAAGCUUCAGACAGUUCAUGCCAUCCGAGAUUUGAUUCGCUCGCACAACCAGCCGAGACCAGUUUGUGAUGAGGUGCUGGACUCCAGCCGAGAGCUUUAAUGGACAAUUGUUGAAGCCAAAUAACAAACAGCCUGGAAGUGUAUUUUACUACUGCAUGGAGUGCAAUGCAUUUGGAAACGAGCAGGAACAAUCACAUCUGCAUUGGUUCCACUCACCGCUCUGGCUGAUUAUUAUCGACACCGGUGUUCUAAGUGGCAGCGGAACAGGUCAAUCCCCUCACUGUAUUGUAUUGUAUUAUGUUAUAUUAUAUUAUAUAUUAUAUUAUAUUAUGCUAAAAGUUUAUUUUUUUAUUUUUUUAAGAAAUAAUUUUUUUUCAAAUCAUUCAAUUCAGAAAAAUGCUGAACACAACGUUUGUAUUCAUUAUUAUUUGUUAGUCCGGGUUGGUAAUUGCAGAACAUUGAAUUUGUCUUUCUUGCGAGUGGAACGCUCUUCAGAAAAAAAAAAAUCUAUUUCUGCUGUACGUAAUGUUGGGCAUUAUUUAUUGUUUUUGUGAACAUGUUGACAUGUCACUGUUGUGUUUGCAUGCUUGACAGAAAAUGGAUAGAUGGAUGUAACA